GAUCUUGCAGCGGCUCUAGAUGGUGUUGAUUUGAUGGAGGAGGAGUAUCAAGUCCUGAAUAGAUACGGCUCCGGUCAUCGACGCAACGAUGGUUUUUACAUUGGCAAAACAUCGGAGAAGCUGCAUCCUAUUGAGAACCCAGAAGACAUCAUUGUGCAGUCUGCUGGCCUUAUGGUCAGAGAGCUGUUUUGAAGUUUGCUGAUCAGUACAUUGGAGCUAAUACCAUUGCUGGAAAACACACUCCUGGUAUAUUCACCAAUCAGAUGCAUACAUUAUUCAGUGAGCCCAUGCUUCUGAUUCUUACUGAUCCACGUACCGACCACCCCGAUAUUCGUGUCGCUUACUUAGGCAAGGCAUAUAACAUAUGUGUAUAGAUGUGAUGAACUCAGAAAGAGGAUCCCAAAAUUCAAAGGUAUGGGAUUUCUCUAAGAUCUACAAUUGAUGUAAUUAGGCAGUGAAGGAGAAUAUUUUGAAUCAACUCACUAAAGUUGUGCAACUCGUGAAGCUAGAGAAAGAUCCAUGUGCUGCAUUUUGCUUUGAUCAUCGAUCCCAAAUAACACGUAUGCACUGGAUGAUGAUAUGAAGUAUCAUUAUCUGGCUUUGGCAGUCGAUUUCAGUCAUAUUUUAUCGUGUGUCUCCCAAGCAAAAAGCUCUGGUAAAAAAGUUAGUUGAAGAGGGAACUGGGAAAACUACAUUGGCAUAGUUGAUGAUGCAAAUGAUGUUGGAAUGAUUCAAGAAGCUGACACUGCUGUUUGCAUUAGUGGAUUCCAAAUAAUGCAGUUUAUGACUGCCCAGUUCAGGUUUCUGGAGAGAUUACUCAUGUUCAUGGAAACUGAGGCUAUAAAUGAAUAGCUCAAAUGUUAAUAUAUGUUUACAAUAAGUCUUAUUCUACUCUUACACAUUUUUGGUUUCUAACAUAUAUUAUUCAUUGUUCUGCAUCCAAAUAUGACAUUUCCUCCACAAAAAUAUAGCAUUUCCUCUCGCCCUCUUAUAUUCUGAGACGUUCACCGGUUCUUUUGACUGUUUGUAUGCGUCUUAAAACCUGUCACAGCUGAGCCACAAAGCUUCACUAACUAUCGCCCAACUUAUCUAAGUUCCCAGACGUCCGGCAAAAACCUUCUCAUCAGUACGAAGUUUGCAACUGUAGCUUCAGACAAAACAACUCUUCUUAUCAAUCAAGUCAUUCCGUUGUAUCACCAAAUUGAGCCUUGCAAGGAAUAGAACAGGAAGCUCAUCAAAAUUGCAGGAACCAAACAAUAUGAUUCAGUCAUAAAGAGAGCAAUAUAUCUGUGAAGUUUAAGAACCAGUGACUUUCUUGUCUACUACAUUAUCUGUCAAUGACAGACCAUCUCUCAGGUUUUCAUACUGAUGUAUCUGCAGCAAUGCGACUUAGUUUCCGUUGCAAGAAGAUCAAACCCGCAAUGUGUUUGCAUCCAAGGCCCGUCCACUACCACUGGACCGCAAGGUCCACUCAUUUUUUAAAAAGAUUUUCACCAACUUAAAUGUUCAUAUACUCUAUUCCUUAAUUUUCUAAGUUGGUGAUAUUGGCACCCGUAAAUCUUUAACCGAAUAUAGUAUAUGAUGAACACAGUAAAAACUAUAACUCGGUAUGAAUAUUAUCUAUAUGUGUUAUACAAAUUAAUAAAAUAUUGGCAUCCACAAAUAUUUGAAAAUUCAGAUUGAACAUUCAUAUAUGGAUACACAAAAAUACACAUAAGAAUGAUGAGAUUCAAAUAAUAAUGAAACCAUUUUAGUUAUCAAGAGGGGGGGGGGAAUCAUGGCUUGAUUAAUUGAAAAAAAUGAAACAAUCAUUUUUAUUUAAUGGUGAAUCUCUAUAAUAUUAUUUGAGAAGUCAGUUUCCUAUGUGUCGCUCUCAAGUUAACUCUCACGAUGGUUGAUUACACUGAUACCCUUAAUAAAUUAACUUACAUCUAAAAUACUAUUAUUUAUUAUUUUAUUUAGUUUCCUUUUUAAAAAAUUUCGAAAAAUAUACACAUAAAAUAAAAAGGAAAUAUUUUAUAAAGUUA